UACAAUUAUAUAUUUUUAAAAUUACUUAAAUAGAAUUUAGUUUUAGUCAAUGUAAUAAUUGAUUUAAUAAUAUCAUUUAUCCUCGAGUAUGUGCAUUAAUCAGCAACCAGAUGUUAAAUCAAAGACAUGUGGCCACAAUUACCUGCCCAUCUGCAUGCACAAGAAUCCAAGCCCAAGGAAUUCCUCCAUGGCUCUUUUUAAGAUCAUCAAGAAAGACAUGCUCAUGGGUCCAGGGCCUAUACAGGGAACACACCGAGCCCAUUGUAGUGUUCUUUGUUCUGGGUGGAGCUAAGAACUCCUCCAUGUCGGCCGUCAACCGCCACAGAUGAAGGGGAGGCACCUGGUGGACCUGUAACUGCGUGGUGUCCCUGAUUAAUUAAUAAUCCCUAUCUUUAUUUAAGAAACACCAAGGGUGGUGGAGAGUGGAGACGAGAGAGCUGCCUUGUCAUGCUCACCUGCUCGCGCAAAUAAACAAAUACAAAAAAUAAUUAAUCUUGCGUUUGUGCCCUGCAAGUAUAGACGGUCCCUCCCUUGAGU
rnacentral:lncRNA from 1 species